GACAAGGCGAGGAAAGGUGUAUUGUUUUUGUGUGUUAUUUAUCUUGAAUGUCGGUAAAUUAUUAGACUAAUAUUUAAAAAAAAAUGUGCUCACGUGGAAGGUUUUUAGUGAAGCUUGCACAGGAAGAAAAUAGUAGUGAUACUGAAAACCACUGCCCCAAUACGAGCUUAGAACAAGCAUUAGCACGCUCCCCAAUUUUUGAUGGAAAUGAUUUUGAUCCCGGUUUUGAUGAAGUAGAUCCUGCUGUAUUAUUAUUUGGUACUACUCAAGAUGGAUUACCUGUGCAUGAAGAGACUGCUUCUGCAAAUGUACAGUAUUUAGAAAAUACUGAUGGGGAUAUUCUGGCUAUACAUACUGAGCUUGAAGAUGAUGCUAAUGAAGAAACAACUUCAAUGGAAACGACUGUUUUAAAGGAAGUGAAUUUAUCCGUAACUAUAGAAAGUAAUGUCGCUGAACAACUUCAAACUGAUGCUGAAAAAAAUAUAUCACCCGGUAGAAAAAAGUUUAAAAAUGAGAAUAAUUAGAAAGUUAAAAUAGCUAAAAAAAGAAGAAAUACAGGUCAAGAAUAUACGUCUUACACUACCAAAAAAAUUGUUAAGGCUAGAAAAAUCAAAGAAAGUUGUGUAAAGAAAAAAUGUCGAAUGGAAUGUUACCAGAAGAUCAGCGAAAAAACAUUUUUUAUAAAUUCUGGAAACUAGGAAAUCAUGAUAAACACAUGCAGCACAAAGCACGUUAAAAAAAUGCAAAAGAAGGCAGAAACAGUGAAAACAAAUUCAAGACGCCAAUUUACAAUGGAGUAUUAUUUUACAGUGGAUGAACUCAUCAUUAAAGUAUGCAAAACUUUUUUUUUAAACACGCUCAGUAUUACUGACAUCUGGAUAAGAACUGUAAUGCUUAAGUUAGAUAGAAACACGAUUGGAAUAGGAAGGAAUGGAUUGGCAGAGUCACAAGUACAGAUCCAAAAGUUGAAGCUACCAGGAAAUUUAUAAGGCAGCACAUUGAGUGUCUUCCCACAACCGAGUCACAUUAUAUACGUAAGGAGUCAAAUCGUAAAUACCUACAAGUUGAUAUACAGUUCAUAGCACAGAUGUAUAGACUGUACUUAGAAUGGGCCAAGGAAAAAAAUAUUAGUCCGAUUGCUACUUGCAGACAGUAUCGGUAUGUCUUUGAGCAUGAGUUUAAUAUAGGGUUUUUUUUACCAAAAAAAGACCAGUGCGAGGUUUGCGAUAAGUUUUUACUGGUAGAUGACAGCAAAAGAGAAGAACUUGAAGAAGAAAAAAGAAGACACCAAGCCAACAAAGACGCCGUAAGAAAAUUAAAGGAAAAGGACAAGGAGCAGGCAAAAGAUGAUAAAUCAUUAAUUAACGUCGCCUGUUAUGAUUUACAAAAAAAUUUAGUUGCCCCACACAAAGAUGUCAGCAUUUUUUAUUACAAAUUAAAAUAUAAUACGUAUAAUUUAACGAUUUUUGACGUUGGAAAUAUUAAAAUGUCUGGCACGAGACAAUUGCAAAACGAGGAGCUAAUGAAAUUGGAAGUUUUGUGUUGGAUUACAUUAAAAAUCAAAAAUAGAAUGGUGUCGAUACUUUUGUGUUUUACACAGAUAAUUGCGCUGGUCAAAACAGGAAUCGGUUUAUUUAUGCCAUGUAUGUGUACGCAGCGGAAAAAUAUAGCGUAAAUAUUACACACCGUUUCCUGGAAAAAGGCCAUACCCAGAACGAGGGAGACAGUGUCCAUGCUCUUAUAGAGCGACAGAAAAAGGGUAAAGUAAUUUACACACCAGAGCAGUGAAUUAUGCUUAUAAAAAUGGCAAAAGUUACAGGUGAACCAUAUAAUGUUAUAGAAGUCUGUCAAGAUAUGGUUUAUGACUUAAAGGGACUAGUAACACCCGAAAGAAACUGGAAAACAGAUCAAAAUGGAAAAACUAUAAGAUGGAAUGAUUAAAGAAAUUGAAAUAUUAUCUGACGACCCUUUGCAAAUAAAAAUUAAAUAUGAUUUUGUCGAUGAGAAUAACCAUUGCUUGCUAGAUUUAAAGAAGAAAACCAUUAGUAAGAGAAUGAAACUAAAGUUAAGUUGCCAAAACAAGGGAUUAGGCUUGCCUAAUUUCUCAUUUUUCUCAAAACGUGCUUUUUCGAGAUACGAUGUUCCUAUUUGCGAGCGUCGAUAUGACCAGAAGUACCUCGGAUUGCUAGCGAGAUUCAUUUCUACCUUAUUAAUAUAUUGUUGAUAGCACAACUCUCUUAAGUACUCACAUUGAUGUCUCAAAAAUACAAAUUCAUCAUAUUCCUGCUGUUGACCACUAAUUUUAAACUUUUUGUGAAUUUGUUUCUUUCUUACUAUGACAUCAAUAGAUGUCUCUCCCAAAAAUUGAUUCCAGUCUAUCCCAGCAAGACAAUCGUUAACUGCUAUUUAAUCUCCCUUACCAAAAUCAUAAAAAGAGAUAUUAAAGUGGCUUAUAAUCAAUAUCUAAAUAACAUCCAACAAAAUAUCGGUAAGGAUUCCAGAUCAUUCGGCAGUAUAUUAAUUGUAGUAGAAAUGGUUCGAGCAUACCACAUAAAAUGAAAUAUCAAAAUGAUAAACUUAAUAGUUGUGCAGAGAUCUCAAAUGCUUUGGCUUCUUAUUUUCAAUCGGUCUAUGAGUGUGCUGCUCCUGUGUGACCUAUUGGGUAUUCAGCAAAAUGUUAACGAUAUAUACUCUCUAAGUAACCAUGAAAAAUGUUAUUUGUCAAUAAGAACAAAUACAUGUCCAAAUUUAUGGAAACAAGUAAAAAUAUGCUCUGUGUUUAAAAAAGGUGAUUCAGCAGAUAUCCAAAAUUAUAGACCAAUUGCUAUUCUGUCAUGUCCAGCAAAGAUACUUGAGUCCUUAAUAUGUAAGAAUAUUUAUAGCUUUAUUAAAACUAAAGUCAGUAAUUCCCAAUAUAUUGUUUUUUAAUAAAAGGUCAACUGCGUCCAACUUGGCUAACAUAACUCAAUUUAUUUUUGAAAGUCUUGAUAAAAAAUCUUGAUAAAAAGUGCAUGUAGUUUAUAGUGAUUUUACUAAGGCGUUUGAUAAAGUAUCACACACAAUGAUUAAAAAAAAAACUUGAAUAUCAAUAUGGAAUAAGCAAUCAUUUAGUACGACUCUUGCACUCAUAUUUAGAAAACAGACGCCAGAAGAUUCAAGCCCGAAUUCAAAAGAGCAUAUCUGGCAAAUCUGAUAAACUUGUGCUGAACAUUUUCAAUCCUCUCAAUAUAAAUGAGAAAAUGAGGUGACGAAAUUAUCUUGGAAAAUUCAAGAGAUCUCACUAGGUAAUUAUAUAGUGACAAUGCUGACACAUAGGUAAAGUCUUUGCAAGAUCUCUGGAUAAAUCCAAGCAAUUUAUUAGCUUUAUUUAUGGUAAUACUCGCAGUGGUGGGAAAAAGUAAGGCUUAGGUCCAAAAAGACACUUAAAUCCUUGACUGAGUCAAGCUGCUUUAAAGAGAUACCUUCAAUAACGUAUUAACAAGGGGGGGAGACCCUUAAACGCGCAAACCUCUGAAAUGAAUCUACAUUCUCGAUAUUUCAUUCAAGUUACACCAGGAAAACACUUUGUUUAUAUCUCUCUGGAGCACCAACUGAUCUUAAGAGGAAAAAAUCGAUCCUAAUAGGGAGCCAAGACAAUUGAUAAAGAGGCUGAAUAACAAUGGUCCUAAGUGGGACUCCUAAAGUUGACAAAAAUGGGUUUGAAAUAAAACCACCAAUCUUAACCCGCUGUCCUCUAUCCAUCAGAUAAGACUUAAUCCAAAGUAAAAGAGUUCCGCUGAUGCCAAGAUCUGAAAUAUGAGAGAUAAGAACAUUAUGGUUGACCUUAUCGAAGGCUUUACUAAAGUCCGUUUAUAUCGCAUGUGUUUCAUUACCGUCGGCAAAGCAUUUAAAGAUGUAGCUGCUAAAAAUAAACAAGUUUGUUGUCACAGAGCGACCUCUGGUGAAUCCAUGUUGUUGAUCCCCAAUUAUUUCCUGAAAUGUGUCAGACAUAACCACCUCUACACAGUGCUCGAACAGCUUAGGGAUUGCAGAGAGGAUACUAUUGGGACGAUAAUUAGUUAAAUCAUUUUUAUUCCCAGAUUUAUAAAUAGGACAUACAUGAGAUAGCUUCCAAUCGUCUAGAGUUCCAGAUGUGAAAGGCAGAUUGAAAAUAUGAAAAAGUGGAAGGAAGAGGGAAUGGCCGCAUUCUUUUAAAAGCCUGCUUGGAAUUCCAUCGGGACCUGCUGCCUUUCUGUUAUCCAGUUUAGCUAAUGUAAUUUCAAAAGUUGUAAGAGUUUUACCAAAACCAACUGUGUUAAAACUCUCUAUAUGUCAGACAGAAGAAGCAUUUUGGACUUUUGUUCCAUUGUUUGGUGCCCUUGUUAUGACCUGCAUAUUUUAAACCUUGAGAGAGUGCAGAAUAAACCAUUAAGAUAUAUUAACUACAUACAUAGAUACAGGUUACAUGUGACCUGCAGUAGAUAAUGAAUAAAUUUAAUUUAAUGAAUUUAGAAAGUUAUCACCAGAAAAAUAAUUACAAGCGAAAUAAACAAUCCCAAUUUAUUGGGUAUGAUAACUCUUAAUGUACCAGUCUACCACACAAGAUAUCCAUUGCUAUUUACUGUGGAGUGUGCUUAAAUCAACUAUUACCUAAAUUCUCCUGUAAUAUCCAUGUGUCGCCUCUACAAUAACUUGGACUGUGAUAUUUUUAAUACAUCAAUUACUUAUUUAAGGCAAAUAGUAUAAUAGGAAUGCUGUAAAUUUACCUGCUUUAUAGCCUACUCUAUAAUUGGUUUUUUACUGUAGAUAUUGUAAAUAAAUUAAUAAAUAAAAUAACAAAUGGUAUAAGCAAAUGUGUAGCAAUCAAACUAUUUUAGACAAAUUUUAAAAUUUUUAUGAAAGCCUAAAUUCCAAUAAGGCAUAUUUAUUUUUCUCUCCUUGUAGCAAAUAAAU